rnacentral:rRNA from 1 species
GCAUAUCAAUAAGCGGAGGAAAAGAAACCAACAGGGAUUGCCCUAGUAACGGCGAGUGAAGCGGCAACAGCUCAAAUUUGAAAUCUGGCUUCGGCCCGAGUUGUAAUUUGCAGAGGAUGUUUCUGGCGCGGUGCCUUCCGAGUUCCCUGGAACGGGACGCCACAGAGGGUGAGAGCCCCGUAUGGUUGGACACCAAGCCUGUGUGAAACUCCUUCGACGAGUCGAGUAGUUUGGGAAUGCUGCUCAAAAUGGGAGGUAAAUCUCUUCUAAAGCUAAAUACCGGCCAGAGACCGAUAGCGCACAAGUAGAGUGAUCGAAAGAUGAAAAGCACCUUGAAAAGGGGGUUAAACAGUACGUGAAAUUGUUGAAAGGGAAGCGCUUGUGACCAGACUUGUGCCGGGCGGCUCAUCCGGGGUUCUCCCCGGUGCACUCCGCCCGGCUCAGGCCAGCAUCGGUUUUCGUUGGGGGAUAAGAACGGCAGGAACGUGGCCCUCCUUCGGGUGGGUGUUAUAGCCUGCCGUACGAUACCCUGACGGGGACCGAGGUUCGCGCUCCGCAAGGAUGCUGGCGUAAUGGUCAUCAGCGACCCGUCUUGAAACACGGACCAAGGAGUCGUCCAUUAGAGCGAGCGUUUGGGUGUCAAACCCGCACGCGUAAUGAAAGUGAAAUUAGGUGAGAGCUUCGGCGCAUCAUCGACCGAUCCUGAUGUUCUCGGAUGGAUUUGAGUAAGAGUUUUAACGGACGGACCCGAAAGACAGUGAACUAUGCUUGUAUAGGGUGAAGCCAGAGGAAACUCUGGUGGAGGCUCGCAGCGGUUCUGACGUGCAAAUCGAUCGUCAAAUAUGAGCAUGGGGGCGAAAGACUAAUCGAACUGUCUAGUAGCUGGUUACCGCCGAA